CAGGGCUUUGUGCGGUUUUCAACAAGAGAGAACGCACACCUCCAGAGGCUGCAGGGCCCGUCAAAGCAGAGUCCUGACGGUUGCUUCAAAUAAAUGGUGAGCCAGAGAAGACCUGCAGAGAUUAGAUCUAUGGAAAACCGAGUACGAGUGCGAGAAACAAAGCAUGCAAACAUAUGGCUCGUAAGUUUUCAUUUUGGGCAUGCAAAACUACUAUGUGGGGGCAGGUUCUGAUUGAGAAAAGGAAUACAUUGUUCUGGGCAAUCUCGAAGAGGAUUAAAGAGGACCACAGACAUUUUAGGUUCUGUAUUGUUUCCAAUAUUUCCAAUCUAAAGUUCAUCAACACAGAGCAUGACUGCAACAUACAGAGCAUAGCAGAGCAAGCCUAGAGAAUCCAAAGCAUAGUGUUGCACAAAUUGGAACUGCUACAACCACCAACAAAAUUAAAACAUUUUGCUAUCAGCCAAAGUUAUUGCACAGGAUUAGGUGGAUAAUCCAACACCCAAAGAUCAAUUGCUGUCAAACAAACAAAAAUCACAAGAAAAUAUCAUUCAAACAGUUCCUGAUGCCCAAGAAGCCCCUCUAGACAACGGAAGUUGUUCUACUGACAAACCUCAGCCAAAGAAAUUAAAAUUGCAACCAUUACAUAUAUCAAGCAUCAUUGAAAUAUGUACAACGCAAUUUGUUGUCGCAUUUGAAGGCAAUGUUCUUGUAACUUACGGCCCAGGUUGUAACAAGAACCCUGCAGGCCAAAUAAAAGCAUCGAUUGUGCAUGUGGACAUGGUUGACAGUCAUGGUCAAAUGACUAUAACAGUAAAUAUCAACAACAAGUUGAUUGAUAUGUUCCUUUCACAACUAUUGCCUGGUGCUAGUGUUCGUCUAACAAACUUCAUAAUAAAAAAGAAAAACCAAUACGAAAGAGGUGAUGUUGAUUCUUGUCUCUAGUUAACUGUAAAAACAACAAUUGAAUGCAUUGGAAAAGUCUGCAAACAACGCAAGCUAACACCAGACAGAACGAUAGCACAACUCAUCGAUUCACCUAACACUUACUCAAUUGGUUCAUUGGCUGUUCUUGUCGCUGGUUAUACUGAGGCACCAACAUAAUAUCAAUUACUAGUUAAAGAUGGUGAAUCCACCUCUGACACAGCCACUCUCACAGUGCCAAAAAACCACUUGGAUGUCUAUGCCACUCUACAACAACUUCUUCCUACAACAACAUCGCCCCUCUUAUUAUUCAAGAACAUUGUAUGCAAUGGCGCCCACGGAACACACCUGUUAAAGUCAACGCUGCCAACUUUUGUUGAUGAACUCAAUGAUGACUGCAGUAAAGCUUCUCUACAAAAUCUGGCUUCAUCCAACAUUCAGGUCACUGGAACCCUCAAGACCAAAAACGCCCACCUUCCUCCCUACCAGCCCCUCUGUUCCAUUUGCCACUACAUUGUUUGUUUACUUCCCACUGCCACUGACAACUCAACCCAAUGUCUCACUUGUGCUAGUUAACCCCAUUCACGUACGAACCUUACUUGCAAUGCACAAUAGAAAUUGCAACUAGUACCAUUGAUUGUAACUUACACACCACACUCUUGCAACAAAACUUUCCUCAGCUUGCCAAAAUCCCAUUUGAAAAUUACAAGAAAGACAUGUCAACAGUUGUUUUCCUUAUGCGCAAAUUCCAAAUGGAUGCAACAUUCACAAUUGCAAUGAACAAUUCUAUUAUUCACAUUGCUAAGGACGACAAUGAAGAAACACUCUCAAACCCACCUUUUUUAAUAUCAUUAUUUGUAAAAUAACAUGGCUUAAGAAUAAUAUUUCGCAUCUAAAUAAAUUGUUGUGCAAAAAUUGCAGGGCCUAUGAGAUUAGAUUGCCAUAUGAAAGAACAUUUUGCCCUGCCAAAUGCUUUUUUGUCAAGGUCAGAGAAGCUCAGGACAACUAGAAAAGUCUACAAAGAAAUUGAAUCAGAAUACCACUAUACUAGUUUUGUAUGCUGAUGAAAACAAUCACAAAACCUGCAGAGAAGCUCAUGACAACUAGAAAAGUCUACAAAGAAAUUGACUCAGAAUACCACUAUACUAGUUUUGUACACAGUCAAUUGACAAACAAUGUUUAGGACAAAAACUUUCAAUUUAAAUACCAUGUAAUCAAUUAAAAAAUGCUCUAGAAACAUAUGUCAAUAUAUAUACAUAUUUUCUCCUUU